UUAAGCGACUAAGCGUACACGGUGGAUGCCCUGGCAGUCAGAGGCGAUGAAGGACGUGCUAAUCUGCGAUAAGCGUCGGUGAGGUGAUAUGAACCGUUAUAACCGGCGAUUUCCGAAUGGGGAAACCCAGUGUGUUUCGACACACUAUCAUUAACUGAAUCCAUAGGUUAAUGAGGCGAACCGGGGGAACUGAAACAUCUAAGUACCCCGAGGAAAAGAAAUCAACCGAGAUUCCCCCAGUAGCGGCGAGCGAACGGGGAGGAGCCCAGAGCCUGAAUCAGUGUGUGUGUUAGUGGAAGCGUCUGGAAAGGCGCGCGAUACAGGGUGACAGCCCCGUACACAAAAAUGCACAUAUUGUGAGCUCGAUGAGUAGGGCGGGACACGUGGUAUCCUGUCUGAAUAUGGGGGGACCAUCCUCCAAGGCUAAAUACUCCUGACUGACCGAUAGUGAACCAGUACCGUGAGGGAAAGGCGAAAAGAACCCCGGCGAGGGGAGUGAAAAAGAACCUGAAACCGUGUACGUACAAGCAGUGGGAGCCUCUUUAUGGGGUGACUGCGUACCUUUUGUAUAAUGGGUCAGCGACUUAUAUUCUGUAGCAAGGUUAACCGAAUAGGGGAGCCGAAGGGAAACCGAGUCUUAACUGGGCGUUAAGUUGCAGGGUAUAGACCCGAAACCCGGUGAUCUAGCCAUGGGCAGGUUGAAGGUUGGGUAACACUAACUGGAGGACCGAACCGACUAAUGUUGAAAAAUUAGCGGAUGACUUGUGGCUGGGGGUGAAAGGCCAAUCAAACCGGGAGAUAGCUGGUUCUCCCCGAAAGCUAUUUAGGUAGCGCCUCGUGAAUUCAUCUCCGGGGGUAGAGCACUGUUUCGGCAAGGGGGUCAUCCCGACUUACCAACCCGAUGCAAACUGCGAAUACCGGAGAAUGUUAUCACGGGAGACACACGGCGGGUGCUAACGUCCGUCGUGAAGAGGGAAACAACCCAGACCGCCAGCUAAGGUCCCAAAGUCAUGGUUAAGUGGGAAACGAUGUGGGAAGGCCCAGACAGCCAGGAUGUUGGCUUAGAAGCAGCCAUCAUUUAAAGAAAGCGUAAUAGCUCACUGGUCGAGUCGGCCUGCGCGGAAGAUGUAACGGGGCUAAACCAUGCACCGAAGCUGCGGCAGCGACACUAUGUGUUGUUGGGUAGGGGAGCGUUCUGUAAGCCUGUGAAGGUGGCCUGUGAGGGUUGCUGGAGGUAUCAGAAGUGCGAAUGCUGACAUAAGUAACGAUAAAGCGGGUGAAAAGCCCGCUCGCCGGAAGACCAAGGGUUCCUGUCCAACGUUAAUCGGGGCAGGGUGAGUCGACCCCUAAGGCGAGGCCGAAAGGCGUAGUCGAUGGGAAACAGGUUAAUAUUCCUGUACUUGGUGUUACUGCGAAGGGGGGACGGAGAAGGCUAUGUUGGCCGGGCGACGGUUGUCCCGGUUUAAGCGUGUAGGCUGGUUUUCCAGGCAAAUCCGGAAAACCAAGGCUGAGGCGUGAUGACGAGGCACUACGGUGCUGAAGCGACAAAUGCCCUGCUUCCAGGAAAAGCCUCUAAGCAUCAGGUAACAUCAAAUCGUACCCCAAACCGACACAGGUGGUCAGGUAGAGAAUACCAAGGCGCUUGAGAGAACUCGGGUGAAGGAACUAGGCAAAAUGGUGCCGUAACUUCGGGAGAAGGCACGCUGAUAUGUAGGUGAAGCGACUUGCUCGUGGAGCUGAAAUCAGUCGAAGAUACCAGCUGGCUGCAACUGUUUAUUAAAAACACAGCACUGUGCAAACACGAAAGUGGACGUAUACGGUGUGACGCCUGCCCGGUGCCGGAAGGUUAAUUGAUGGGGUUAGCGGUAACGCGAAGCUCUUGAUCGAAGCCCCGGUAAACGGCGGCCGUAACUAUAACGGUCCUAAGGUAGCGAAAUUCCUUGUCGGGUAAGUUCCGACCUGCACGAAUGGCGUAAUGAUGGCCAGGCUGUCUCCACCCGAGACUCAGUGAAAUUGAACUCGCUGUGAAGAUGCAGUGUACCCGCGGCAAGACGGAAAGACCCCGUGAACCUUUACUAUAGCUUGACACUGAACAUUGAGCCUUGAUGUGUAGGAUAGGUGGGAGGCUUUGAAGUGUGGACGCCAGUCUGCAUGGAGCCGACCUUGAAAUACCACCCUUUAAUGUUUGAUGUUCUAACGUUGGCCCGUAAUCCGGGUUGCGGACAGUGUCUGGUGGGUAGUUUGACUGGGGCGGUUUCCUCCUAAAGAGUAACGGAGGAGCACGAAGGUUGGCUAAUCCUGGUCGGACAUCAGGAGGUUAGUGCAAUGGCAUAAGCCAGCUUGACUGCGAGCGUGACGGCGCGAGCAGGUGCGAAAGCAGGUCAUAGUGAUCCGGUGGUUCUGAAUGGAAGGGCCAUCGCUCAACGGAUAAAAGGUACUCCGGGGAUAACAGGCUGAUACCGCCCAAGAGUUCAUAUCGACGGCGGUGUUUGGCACCUCGAUGUCGGCUCAUCACAUCCUGGGGCUGAAGUAGGUCCCAAGGGUAUGGCUGUUCGCCAUUUAAAGUGGUACGCGAGCUGGGUUUAGAACGUCGUGAGACAGUUCGGUCCCUAUCUGCCGUGGGCGCUGGAGAACUGAGGGGGGCUGCUCCUAGUACGAGAGGACCGGAGUGGACGCAUCACUGGUGUUCGGGUUGUCAUGCCAAUGGCACUGCCCGGUAGCUAAAUGCGGAAGAGAUAAGUGCUGAAAGCAUCUAAGCACGAAACUUGCCCCGAGAUGAGUUCUCCCUGAGACUUAGAGUGUCCUGAAGGAACGUUGAAGACGACGACGUUGAUAGGCCGGGUGUGUAAGCGCAGCGAUGCGUUGAGCUAACCGGUACUAAUGAACCGUGAGGCUUAACCUU
rnacentral:rRNA from 2 species